UACGUAGGUGGCAAGCGUUACUCGGAAUCACUAGGCGUAAAGCGUGCGCAGGCGGUUAUGUAAGACAGUUGUGAAAUCCCCGGGCUCAACCUGGGAACUGCAUCUGUGACUGCAUAGCUAGAGUACGGUAGAGGGGGAUGGAAUUCCGCGUGUAGCAGUGAAAUGCGUAGAUAUGCGGAGGAACACCGAUGGCGAAGGCAAUCCCCUGGACCUGUACUGACGCUCAUGCACGAAAGCGUGGGGAGCAAACAGG
rnacentral:rRNA from 1 species